GACGAACGCUGGCGGCGUGCCUAAUACAUGCAAGUCGCACGCAGUGGGGACGGGUGAGUAACACGUGGGUAACCUCCCAUCAGAGGGGAUAACACUUGGAAACAGGUGCUAAACCGAUACUGAUGGAUGGACUCGCGGUGCAUUAGCUAGUUGUGGAGGGAACGGCUCAACAAGGCCACGAUGGCUAGGCCGGCUGGGAGGUGGAUCAGCCAAACUGGGAUCGAAACACGGCCCCGACUCCUUCGUGAGGGAGCAGUGGGGAAUAUUGGGCAAUGGGGGCAACCCUGACGGAGCCAUGCCGCGUGUAUGAAGAAGGCCUUUGGGUUUGAAAGUUUUUUCAGUGGGGAGGCGUUAACUACAGAAGAAGAACCGGCUAACUCCGUGCCAGCAGCCGCGGUAAUAC
rnacentral:rRNA from 1 species